UUUUAGCUCGUCAUACAACACUGCAGAUCGGGGUUAAAUACCGUCCCGUAAGACGGCCGACUCACGCGUGGUAACGUACCUUUUGUUUCAGAACCGCACACGUAAACUUGUGCUAGUGCCGGAUCAAGCCCUUCCAGCGAAAGAUUUUUCGUCGAAAGAUCGGCCCGAGUCUGAUUAGCUAUGUGACGAGGUUAUGACUCUCCCUGGCGACUAUCACUACCUGGCCUGAUAGGAUGAUCAUCCACAUUGGGACUGAGACACGGCCCAAACUCCUACGAGAGGCUGCACGUGGUCAAUAUUGUACUAUGCGGGGCAACCCUGAUCCACCCCUGCCACGGGACUGAUGAAUGCCCUAGGCUUGUAAAGCUCUUUUGUGCCGUAUGAUAAUGUACGGCCACCGCUCGAAUAAGCCCCGGCUAACUUCGUGCCAGCAGCCGCGGUAUUACGAAUGCGGCUAGCGUUGCUCGUAAUCACUGACCCGUAAAGGAUGUGUAGGCGGCUCUUUAAGUCCUGCGUGAAAUCCUGAAGCUCAACUCCAGAACUGCCUUUGAUACUGAAGAUCUUGAGUCCGGUAGAGGUGAAUGCAACUGCCAGUGUUCAGCUGAAAUUCUUAUAUAUUCGUAAGAUCACCAGUGGCGAAGGCGGCUCACUGGCCCGGUACUGACGCUGAUUCACGAAAAGCAUGGGCAGCAAACAGGAUUAUAUAUCCUGGUAGUCCACGCCGUAAACAAUGAAUGCCACCCGUUAGUGGGUUUCCUCCCAAAGGGGGCGGCUAACGAUUUAAGCAUUACUCCUGGGGAGUACGC
rnacentral:rRNA from 1 species